rnacentral:rRNA from 1 species
AUGGACGACCAGCGCACGACGAUGAAAUCCAGCCAGCGAAUCUCGUCCAUAGCCAUGCAACGUCCGCUGGAUUGCUGGUCGUGCAUAGAUCGGCCAGAGUGUGUCGUGUGUGGAGCAAUUCCGUUAGCUAAACCCCUGCAAUCCCCCACCCUCCCACGCACGCACAGCACAGCUAAAGUUCUCUCUUUCCUUCUUCCCCAGCGAGCCCGCUCCCCCUCCCAAAAUCAAGCCGAAAUGGCCAAAGGGACAAAAAAGGAGGAGGAGGAGGAGGAAGCAAGCCCUCGGCGUUCGCUUCCAAGGCGAUCAGGGAAGCAGCUCUACUUUGUUGCCGUGGAAAUCAUGCACACCGUGCUCAGGCUAAUACUGUAUCAUGGUGACUGGACGGGGAGCCUCAUGAGAGCGCAGUACAGGGUGAAGACAGGCGGUAAGAUGAUAUACACCUGCCCUCUCGAUGGGACCUUUUACUACGUGGUGAGGUACCAGGGAGAUUUGUUGUGUUUAUCUUGGUUGCGAGGCAAUACUGGCUUGUUGGCAUUUGGAAUGCACAUGGAUUCUUCCAGUCGAUUUGGAAAGACAACAGGGAGUUCUACAUGGACAGUAGAUGGGCAUGUUGCAUUAUCCAGUUACGAGGGGCCCAACCGUCCAGAACCAGAGGGAUUCCGCCAAGCUUGGGGUACAUAUAUUGUAUACAUCAUGGAAACAAAAUUUCUGGAGAUCCUGCAUAAAUGUUGCAAUUCCAUGGAUCAUUUUGAUAGGCUUGGGUCCCGCGCACGAGAUUUAGUGGUGCAAUGGCAGUCCCGCUGUGGAGUCGUUAUGCAAGGAAUUGAGGAGGGUUUUGAAAACCAAAAAGUCCUAGAGAAAGCAUAUGAACUGAUGGGGAGCAUACUAAUAUAUCAUGUUGAUGCUUGGGCUGAAGGAAAACUGUUUUGUCAUCCUUCCUUGCCUUCCAAGCCAAGGGAGGAAAUCUGGGCACCUAUCGACGAGGGUGAUGGGGACGGUGACAUAUAUAAUCCGGACGUUGCAGCUCCACUGCCAAGAGCACCACUUCGACCGCGGCAUGUCACAUACACCAAAGCAAGAGGAGGGCAGAAGCGUGGCUCAAUUCAAGUCGAGGACAAAGAUGGCAAACGGCCAAGAAGAGAGUGCACAGGGCUUAGAGGAGGCGGAGUUGGUGGCUUGGCUGAAGUGCCCCCUUGGUUCCUUGAAUGGCGUCAAGAUGUCGACAAUGAGAAGCUACUGAAUCGCCUAAUUACCACUGCAAAGAAAGAGCUUGGCCUUACGUUCGUGGAUGCUCCGGUUCUUCAUUUGAAGCAAACCUUCGAGAAGAAGAUACAAAGUCUUGAGCUGAAGAAUGCAGGUAGCCAACGUAGUGAUGUUGAAGACAUCAGAGGUGGUGGUUUCAUCACCGAUGGAGUUAUCACGCAGUACUUCGAAGGCCUCACUCCAAUACUGCAUAACCAAGUCAAUCUGGUGCCACCGGCAAGCUCGCUGGCUUUCGCCCAUGAUCCAUAUGCAAUGGAUGUGGCACUUCUUGCUUCCUCAGAGAUCAACAUUCUUCCCGUCAACAACAGCACUAGUGAUGAGCCGGACAUGGGAUCUCACUGGUCCGUCAUGGUUCUGUACAGACCCAUCAAUGGCGCGCCUCGACUGGUGCACCAUGACAGCACCGAAGGUCGCAUCAACAACGAAGCCGCGGAGCGCCUCGCCCGCUCAAUCCGCAGAGUGCUACCUCCCUUCCAAGAAUCGGUCGUCGAGCACGCGAGCACUCCACUCCAGGAUAACAACGCCGAUUGCGCAGUUUUCGUGAUGGCAAUUGCCAAUUCCAUUGGACGUUGGCGACUAAGCAAGGGUCAUCAAGGUCAGCAGCUGCAGCAAGAUUGGGUGAAUACACUUGCGAGGGAUAUAGACCAGAAUGUCGUCGCUCAGAUGAGGAAUUUGCUCCCUGAAUUUCUGGAAGGACAGAUGACUGUGGAAGAGCUGAACUCUGUGUGCUUCUUCAGUGGAGACGGAGUUGAUGGGCAGGGGAAGAAUGGUCUUCCAUGA